UUUCCGUAGGUGAACCUGCGGAAGGAUCAUUAUUGAAUAAACCUGAUGUGGUUGUUGCUGACUCUCUAGGGAGUACGUGCACGCCUCGUCAUCUUUAUAUAUCCACCUGUGCACCUUUUGUAGACCCAGGAGACUUGAGCAAUCGAGUCAAAUGGGCCUAUGUUUAUCAUAUACCCCAUAGUAUGUAUUUGAAUGUAUCAAUGGGCUUUGUGCCUAUAAACAUUAUACAACUUUCAGCAACGGAUCUCUUGGCUCUCGCAUCGAUGAAGAACGCAGC
rnacentral:misc_RNA from 1 species